rnacentral:rRNA from 1 species
AACGAACGCUGGCGGCAGGCUUAACACAUGCAAGUCGAACGGGUGUAGCAAUACAUCAGUGGCAGACGGGUGAGUAACACGUGGGAACCUUCCUAGGGGUACGGAACAACUCAGGGAAACUUGAGCUAAUACCGUAUACGUCCGUGAGGAGAAAGAUUUAUCGACCUUAGACGGGCCCGCGUCGGAUUAGCUAGUUAGUGGGGUAACGGCCUACCAAGGCGACGAUCCGUAGCUGAUCUUAGAGGAUGAUCAGCCACACUGGGACUGAGACACGGCCCAGACUCCUACGGGAGGCAGCAGUGGGGAAUCUUGGACAAUGGGCGCAAGCCUGAUCCAGCCAUGCCGCGUGAGUGAAGAAGGUCUUCGGAUUGUAAAGCUCUUUUGCCAGGGACGAUAAUGACGGUACCUGGAGAAUAAGCCCCGGCAAACUUCGUGCCAGCAGCCGCCGUAAAAC